GACGAACGCUGGCGGCGUGCCUAAUACAUGCAAGUCGAGCGAACGGAUGGGAGCUUGCUCCCAGACCGUCAGCGGCGGACGGGUGAGUAACACGUGGGCAACCUGCCUGUAAGACUGGGAUAACUCCGGGAAACCGGGGCUAAUACCGGAUAACUCUUUCCCUCACAUGAGGGAAAGCUGAAAGAUGGCAUCUCGCUAUCACUUACAGAUGGGCCCGCGGCGCAUUAGCUAGUUGGUGAGGUAACGGCUCACCAAGGCGACGAUGCGUAGCCGACCUGAGAGGGUGAUCGGCCACACUGGGACUGAGACACGGCCCAGACUCCUACGGGAGGCAGCAGUAGGGAAUCUUCCGCAAUGGACGAAAGUCUGACGGAGCAACGCCGCGUGAGUGAUGAAGGUUUUCGGAUCGUAAAACUCUGUUGUCAGGGAAGAACAAGUACCGGAGUAACUGCCGGUACCUUGACGGUACCUGACCAGAAAGCCACGGCUAACUACGUG
rnacentral:rRNA from 1 species